GGACGUGUGGGAUUCAUUAAUUGCUCAAUAUGAAGUUGAGCAGUGAAGUGUAAACAUCAAAGGAUAAAAUUUCCUUAACAAAAAUCCUACUCAGAACCCAACUCUCUUUCUUUCUCAGCCUCCUCAAUCGAUCACCACCUCUCAACCAAUUUCUCCAUGGCAACAGGGCAGCCAUCAAUGAUCGAUCCAAAACCCAAACACAAACAUAAUAAUACUAAUACUAAUACUUGUUCAUAGCCUUCUCCUCCUUCCCCUUCUACAACUAGUAAGCAAGCAUUUUAAAACCUGUCAAAAAUCCCAAAUGCCUUUACUUCUCUUACCUCCAUAGAUAAAACUCUCAAACCUCAAAAAGAAAAUCCACAAGAAUCGAACUUUUUGAUAUGCAGCUUUGUAGCAAAGAAAUGCAAGGAAUAAACUCAUUAUUAAACUCAUCUUCUCUGAUCCCUCUUGAAGGCCUUCAAAAUCAGCAGAUCUAAAACCCCUAUUUCGAUCCUUCUUCUGCUUCUAAUGAUGAUUUUCUCCUUCUUGUUUUUGGGCUGACCUCAAGUCUCCUUGGGACCUUAACCUUACAAUUAACCUCAUGCCUAUUACUAACUCAGCCAUCGCCACUGUAAAACCUAGAGAUUUAUCUGACGAAACGCCGCCGACUAUACCGAAAAAUGUUGACUUCCAUAGUAAUUUAACAAGUCUGCGCUUUUGGCUUCUAAGCUUAGACAACACCAAAUCAGCGGCGAUGGAGGAGGACCGUUAUCUGCAGCAGCGGCUGCAGAUGCUGCUAAGCUGAUGUUAUAACAGCAAAUAUUGAUGGCUGCUAGAGGAGGAGCGGGCUUGUCACGAAACGACACAUUGAUUUCUCAUUCUUCAAGUCUCCUACACAGCAACUGUUAUUGCGAUUGUUGAAUCGAGUUGGGGCCUUGCACCACUGAAGCAGAGUAGUUUUCUGAUUGAUGGAAUGAAAGGAGUGGCUUUUACUUUACUAUUAUUUUUUGGAUUUUGGUGGGGAUUUUGUUAUUCCUUAGUUUUCCGUUACCGCUGCCGCUGUUGCCAUAGAGGAAUUGGUUGAGAGAGGCUGAGAAAGAGAGAGAGUUGGAUUCUGAUUUCUGAGUAUGGUUUUUGUAAAGGUGCAAUUUUAUCCUUUGAUGUUUAUACUUCAUGGCUUGACACGUCAAAUCCGACGUGUUAUGUUAUCUGGCAUCCUAUUCAACUUCAUUUUUAAUAA